UACGUAGGGUGCGAGCGUUGUCCGGAAUUAUUGGGCGUAAAGAGCUUGUAGGCGGUUUGUCGCGUCUGCUGUGAAAACCCAGGGCUUAACCCUGGGCUUGCAGUGGAUACGGGCAGACUAGAGGCAGGUAGGGGAGAAUGGAAUUCCCGGUGUAGCGGUGAAAUGCGCAGAUAUCAGGAGGAACACCGGUGGCGAAGGCGGGUCUCUGGGCAAUAACUGACGCUGAGGAGCGAAAGCGUGGGGAGCGAACAGG
rnacentral:rRNA from 1 species